UAGGGAAUCUUCCACAAUGGACGCAAGUCUGAUGGAGCAACGCCGCGUGAGUGAAGAAGGUCUUCGGAUCGUAAAGCUCUGUUGUUGGUGAAGAAGGAUAGAGGCAGUAACUGGUCUUUAUUUGACGGUAAUCAACCAGAAAGUCACGGCUAACUACGUGCCAGCAGCCGCGGUAAUACGUAGGUGGCAAGCGUUGUCCGGAUUUAUUGGGCGUAAAGCGAGCGCAGGCGGAAUGAUAAGUCUGAUGUGAAAGCCCACGGCUCAACCGUGGAACCGCAUCGGAAACUGUCAUUCUUGAGUGCAGAAGAGGAGAGUGGAACUCCAUGUGUAGCGGUGGAAUGCGUAGAUAUAUGGAAGAACACCAGUGGCGAAGGCGGCUCUCUGGUCUGCAACUGACGCUGAGGCUCGAAAGCAUGGGUAGCGAACAGGAUUAGAUACCCUGGUAGUCCAUGCCGUAAACGAUGAGCAGCUAGGUGUUGGGGCACUU
rnacentral:rRNA from 1 species